rnacentral:rRNA from 1 species
AACGAACGCUGGCAGCAUGCCUAACACAUGCAAGUCGAACGAGACCUUCGGGUCUAGUGGCGCACGGGUGCGUAACGCGUGGGAACCUGCCCUUAGGUUCGGAAUAACUCCCCGAAAGGGGUGCUAAUACCGGAUAAUGUCUUCGGACCAAAGAUUUAUCGCCUUGGGAUGGGCCCGCGUUGGAUUAGCUAGUUGGUAGGGUAAAAGCCUACCAAGGCGCCGAUCCAUAGCUUGUCUGAGAGGAUGAUCAGCCACACUGGGACUGAGACACGGCCCAGACUCCUACGGGAGGGAGCAGUGGGGAAUAUUGGACAAUGGGCGAGAGCCUGAUCCAGCAAUGCCGCGUGAGUGAUGAAGGCCUUAGGGUUGUAAAGCUCUUUUACCCGGGAUGAUAAUGACAGUACCGGGAGAAUAAGCUCCGGCUAACUCCGUG